UACGGAGGAUGCGAGCGUUAUCCGGAUUUAUUGGGUUUAAAGGGUGCGUAGGCGGACGCUUAAGUCAGCGGUAAAAUUGCGGGGCUCAACCUCGUCGAGCCGUUGAAACUGGGUGCCUUGAGUGGGCGAGAAGUACGCGGAACGCGUGGUGUAGCGGUGAAAUGCAUAGAUAUCACGCAGAACUCCGAUUGCGAAGGCAGCGUACCGGCGCCCUACCGACGCUGAAGCACGAAGGCGUGGGUAUCGAACAGG
rnacentral:rRNA from 1 species